rnacentral:rRNA from 1 species
AUUGAACGCUGGCGGCAGGCCUAACACAUGCAAGUCGAGCGGAUGAAGGGAGCUUGCUCCUGGAUUCAGCGGCGGACGGGUGAGUAAUGCCUAGGAAUCUGCCUGGUAGUGGGGGAUAACGUCCGGAAACGGGCGCUAAUACCGCAUACGUCCUGAGGGAGAAAGUGGGGGAUCUUCGGACCUCACGCUAUCAGAUGAGCCUAGGUCGGAUUAGCUAGUUGGUGGGGUAAAGGCCUACCAAGGCGACGAUCCGUAACUGGUCUGAGAGGACGAUCAGUCACACUGGAACUGAGACACGGUCCAGGCGCCUACGGGAGGCAGCAGUGGGGAAUGUUGGACAAUGGGCGAAAGCCUGAUCCAGCCAUGCCGCGUGUGUGAAGAAGGUCUUCGGAUUGUAAAGCACUUUAAGUUGGGAGGAAGGGCAGUAAGUUAAUACCUUGCUGUUUUGACGUUACCAACAGAAUAAGCACCGGCUAACUUCGUG